rnacentral:piRNA from 1 species
UAACACCCAAAGUGCCGCCCAAAGAUA